rnacentral:rRNA from 1 species
AUUGAACGCUGGCGGCAUGCCUAACACAUGCAAGUCGAGCGAGCGGCGGACGGGUGAGUAAUGUCUGGGUACUGCCCGAUGGAGGGGGCUAACUACUGGAAACGGUAGCUAAUACCGCAUACUAUCGGAUAACCCAUAUGGGAUUAGCUAGUAGGUGGGGUAAUGGCUCACCUAGGCGACGAUCCCUAGCUGGUCUGAGAGGAUGAUCAGCCACACUGGGACUGAGACACGGCCCAGACUCCGACGGAGGCAGCAGUGGGGAAUAUUGGACAAUGGGCGAAAGCCUGAUGCAGCCAUGCCGCGUGUAUGAAGAAGGCCCUAGGGUUGUAAAGUACUUUCAGUCGGGAGGUGUUACCGACAGAAGAAGCACCGGCUAACUCCGUGCCAGCAGCCGCGGUAAUUC